rnacentral:rRNA from 1 species
CAUGGCGGAGGCCUUAAUACAUGCAAGUCGAGGGGCAGCAGGAAUAGCAAUAUUUGCUGGCGACCGGCGCACGGGUGCGUAACACGUAUACAAUCUGCCUUUAACAGGGGGAUAGCCCGGAGAAAUCCGGAUUAAUACCCCAUAACACAAGAAACGGCAUCGUUUUUUGUUGAAAGCUCCGGCGGUUAAAGAUGAGUAUGCGUCUGAUUAGCUAGUUGGUGAGGUAACGGCUCACCAAGGCGACGAUCAGUAGGGGAUCUGAGAGGAUUAACCCCCACACGGAUACUGAGACACGGAUCCGACUCCUACGGGAGGCAGCAGUAAGGAAUAUUGGACAAUGCCCGCAAGGGUGAUCCAGCCAUGCCGCGUGCAGGAAGACGGCCCUAUGGGUUGUAAACUGCUUUUACACCGGAGAAAACCUCCCCUCGUGAGGGGAGCUGAUAGUAUGGUGAGAAUAAGCAUCGGCUAACUUCGUGCCAGCAGCCGCGGUAAGACGAAGGAUGCAAGCGUUAUCCGGAUUCAUUGGGUUUAAAGGGAGCGUAGGUGGACUGAUAAGUCAGUGGUGAAAUCUUCGAGCUUAACUCGGAAAUUGCCAUUGAUACUGUUGGUCUUGAGUACAGUUGCUGUGGGCGGAAUAUGACAUGUAGUGG